rnacentral:misc_RNA from 1 species
ACAGAUUGCACUCAUCCAAGAUGGCGUCGUUUUCAGAAAGUGACGCGAAAACCGAAAGACUUAUCGCCGAUACAAGUGAGGGAGAAACAGCACUUGCAGCAGCACAGGAUUAUCAACCUGUGGACGUUCCAAUUCAACAAACAGAACAGUCCAAGGAUGACAAUACUACCCAGAAACAAUCAACAUCAAAAGAAUCGGAAAUUGAACCAGCUACUGAAAAGAAGUCUAUAGCUGAUUCAAGUCAAAUGAAAGGAAGUACCCCUGUGGCAAUUCUUGGCAACAUUGUGGACUACCCAAUCACUCCUGAAAGCUCAGAAGAUGACCAAUUGGAGGUAGAUUCGGUUAGUCUGGUAAACAAGGAGAAAGAAACAGAAGCACAGGCACAAAAUGAAGAAAAUACAUGUGAAGACACUAAACCUGACAGUGUCGAAGGACAACAAUCUAAAGAGGAGUCUGUAGAACAUAGUGUUGAACCAAACCAAGAAACGUCAGUUGCUGAUAAAGUGUCUGAGAGUAUAGAAACAACAGAAACUAGUGAGGAAGUUUCAGCAGGUGAUACUGUGAGUAAAUAUGUUAAUUCUGAUAGUGACAGUCAUGAGGCAGAGCCUGCAAAAGAUGAUAAAUCAGGCUCUAAAGAUGAUUCAGAGAAAGUUUCCGAGAGUACAGAACAAACACCAAGUUGUGAGAAAGAGGAGGAAAAAGAAUCUGAAAUGAAGGCUUCAAGUGUACAUGGUGACAAUGAAGUUGAUGAUCUUGAAGAAGUUUUACUGGUUGAGGAGCCAGUGGAAAGACGGAAAGCUGGACCAGAGCUGGAAACUGAAACAGCAGUAGACGAUGCAGAGACAGCUUCUCAAGGUAGUGCAGAGUUUCAACCCCAAAUAGAUGAGAAAACUGAAUCAGAAGUAAUGGAUGACAGCAAGAAUGAGGUGUCUUUAGUUCCCGAAAGUGAAGGUAAAUCUGACAUCGACAAAGAAACUCUUCUGGACACCAAGCCUGAGUGUAUGGAUGUGGAUGGUGAUGAAUCCAACCAGGAUGUAACCAUGGAAACAGAAGCUGUGGCAGCUCCAGCAGCAGGAACUGAUGCAGAGGAUGGAGACUCUCUGUUACCUGACACAGAUGGGGAGGUAAAGAGACCAGUGUCAAAGCCAAGUAGCUUUCCUAUUACUGAAGCCUUCCUGGACGAAAACAGUCUCAGUCUUGACUGUGUGUUGGCCAUCAGUAGCACGGUGCCUGAGGGGGAGACUUCUGUGGACAUUUCACUGGGGGGGAGCAUCAAUGCAUACAGUAAGGAUAGUAAGGACUGUCCCACCCCGGCCAAGAGAUCACGCCCAGGCAGUGUGAUGAGUGGGGUAGAGCCAGAUCCAGACUUGGAUGAUGAUGGCAACUUCCCAGCUGAGAGCUUGUUUGAGUACCAAUGGCCGUUGGACGGUGGAGAGUGGUAUAUGCUCCAGGAACAGAUCAGUGAAUACCUCCAGAUCAAGUCUUUCAAGAGGAAAUAUCCAGACCUGUAUCGCCGAACAUGUGACAAGAAUGAGAAAGACUUUCUGCGAGAGCGGGGUGUAGUGAGUGAAACACAGUCUGACUUGGGUUUGACAGCUCUGAGGAGUGAGGAAGUGUAUGACUUAAUGCACAAAGAUUAUUCUGAGAAGUACCGAGAGUAUGCCCAUGUUCUGCAUGAGAAGGAGAGACAGACUAUCAACAACAAGCACAAAGAGUAUGAAGUGCCAAAACUAGACAAGGGCAAGAUGGGAGCGUACAUCAAGAAGGCAGUGAAGGCCGCAGCUGACUUCAAUGCUCAGUUCCAGCGGGAGAGGCGGGAGGAGAGGAGAGCAUACUUCGAUCUGCAGACUUUUAUGGUGCACUAUCCAGCUGGCAGAUACAAGAAGCUGCCUCCCGAGGCCACCAAGCCCGACGCAUACCCUGUUCCUCUCAUCCCUGGACAGUUCCAGGACUACUACUGCAAAUACACAGCUGAUGAGCUCCGCUACUUACCAAUAAAUACAGCUAAGUUCGACCCUCCCAAGAAAGUGUCCAAUACCCUGGUGAAGCCGUCAAGUGACCCUGACUCGUCCGAGGUGGAGGACAGUACUGAGGUAAUACACUGAGGAUAAAGUAGGGUCGGCCUCGGAAGCGGACAGUGACGGCGAUGCCAGCAGUGACUCGGAUGGGAGUGAGUCAGAAGCUGAAGAGACCAAGGAGGAACCGCUGGCUGAGCCGCUUCCUGAGGAG